CAAUAGCGUAUAUUAAAGCUGUUGCGGUUAAAAAGCUCGUAGUUGGAUUUCUGUCAAGGACAACUGGUCCGCCCUUCGGGUGAGCACAUAGUUUGGUCUUGGCAUCUUGUUGGAAACUGUUGCUGCACUUGGUUGUGUGGCGCAGCGUCCAGCACUUUCACUUUGAGGAAAUUGGAGUGUUUCAAGCAGGCACAUGCCUUUGGACACAGUAGCAUGGAAUAAUUAGAUUGGGCUUUUGCUCCAACUUGUCGGUUUCUGGAGCUGAGGUGAGAAUUAAUGGGGAUUGUUGGGGGCAUCCGAAUUUAGCCGUCAGAGGUGGAAUUCUUGGAUCUGCUAAAGACGGACAACUGCGAAAGCGUUUGCCCAGGAUGUUUUCAUUGA
rnacentral:rRNA from 1 species